rnacentral:rRNA from 1 species
GGCCUGCGCGUGCUAUACAUGCAAGUCGAGCGAACAGACGAGGAGCUUGCUCCUCUGACGUUAGCGGCGGACGGGUGAGUAACACGUGGAUAACCUACCUAUAAGACUGGGAUAACUUCGGGAAACCGGAGCUAAUACCGGAUAACAUGUUGAACCGCAUGGUUCAACAGUGAAAGACGGUCUUGCUGUCACUUAUAGAUGGAUCCGCGCCGCAUUAGCUAGUUGGUAAGGUAACGGCUUACCAAGGCAACGAUGCGUAGCCGACCUGAGAGGGUGAUCGGCCACACUGGAACUGAGACACGGUCCAGACUCCUACGGGAGGCAGCAGUAGGGAAUCUUCCGCAAUGGGCGAAAGCCUGACGGAGCAACGCCGCGUGAGUGAAGAAGGUCUUCGGAUCGUAAAACUCUGUUAUUAGGGAAGAACAAAUGUGUAAGUAACUAUGCACGUCUUGACGGUACCUAAUCAGAAAGCCACGGCUAACUACGUGCCAGCAGCCGCGGUAAUACGUAGGUGGCAAGCGUUAUCCGGAAUUAUUGGGCGUAAAGCGCGCGUAGGCGGUUUUUUAAGUCUGAUGUGAAAGCCCACGGCUCAACCGUGGAGGGUCAUUGGAAACUGGAAAACUUGAGUGCAGAAGAGGAAAGUGGAAUUCCAUGUGUAGCGGUGAAAUGCGCAGAGAUAUGGAGGAACACCAGUGGCGAAGGCGACUUUCUGGUCUGUAACUGACGCUGAUGUGCGAAAGCGUGGGGAUCAAACAGGAUUAGAUACCCUGGUAGUCCACGCCGUAAACGAUGAGUGCUAAGUGUUAGGGGGUUUCCGCCCCUUAGUGCUGCAGCUAACGCAUUAAGCACUCCGCCUGGGGAGUACGACCGCAAGGUUGAAACUCAAAGGAAUUGACGGGGACCCGCACAAGCGGUGGAGCAUGUGGUUUAAUUCGAAGCAACGCGAGAACCUUACCAAAUCUUGACAUCCUCUGACCCUCUAGAGAUAGAGUUUUCCCUUCGGGGACAGAGUGACAGUGGUGCAUGGUUGUCGUCAGCUCGUGUCGUGAGAUGU